rnacentral:rRNA from 1 species
GAGUUUGAUCCUGGCUCAGAUGAACGCUGGCGGCGUGCCUAACACAUGCAAGUCGAGCGGGAAUCUGCAGAAUGAAGCUUCGGCCGAAUGACGCAGAGGAGAGCGGCGGACGGGUGAGUAACGCGUAGGUAACCUACCUUAUGCACAGGGAUAGCCCCGGGAAACUGGAAUUAAUACCUGAUAAAGCGGCUAGGUCACAUGGCCUUGGCCGCCAAAGAUUUAUCGGCAUAAGAUGGACCUGCGUCUGAUUAGCUGGUUGGUGAGGUAACGGCCCACCAAGGCGACGAUCAGUAGCCGACCUGAGAGGGUAAUCGGCCACAUUGGAACUGAGACACGGUCCAAACUCCUACGGGAGGCAGCAGUGGGGAAUAUUACACAAUGGGCGCAAGCCUGAUGUAGCAACGCCGCGUGAGCGAAGAAGGUCUUCGGAUCGUAAAGCUCUGUCCUUGGGGACGAAGGAAGUGACGGUACCCAAGGAGGAAGCCCCGGCUAACUACGCGCCAGCAGCCGCGGUAAUACGUAGGGGGCGAGCGUUAUCCGGAAUUAUUGGGCGUAAAGAGUACGUAGGUGGUUUUGUAAGCGUGAGGUGAAAGCCCGGGGCUUAACUCCGGCGAGCCUCACGAACUGCAAGACUUGAGUGCAGGAGGGGAAAGUGGAAUUCCUAGUGUAGCGGUGAAAUGCGUAGAUAUUAGGAGGAACACCGGUGGCGAAGGCGACUUUCUGGACUGUAACUGACACUGAGGCACGAAAGCGUGGGGAGCAAACAGGAUUAGAUACCCUGGUAGUCCACGCCGUAAACGAUGAGCACUAGUUGUUGGGAGCGAGAGCUCUCGGUGACGCAGUUAACGCAAUAAGUGCUCCGCCUGGGGAGUACGCACGCAAGUGUGAAACUCAAAGGAAUUGACGGGGACCCGCACAAGCAGCGGAGCAUGUGGAUUAAUUCGAAGCAACGCGAAGAACCUUACCAGGGCUUGACAUCCCUCUGAAAGGGCCUUGUAAUGAGGCUCCCUCUUUCGGGACAGAGGAGACAGGUGGUGCAUGGUUGUCGUCAGCUCGUGUCGUGAGAUGUUGGGUUAAGUCCCGCAACGAGCGCAACCCUUGCCUUUAGUUGCCAGCACGUUAUGGUGGGCACUCUAAAGGGACUGCCGGGGACAACUCGGAGGAAGGUGGGGAUGACGUCAAAUCAUCAUGCCCCUUAUGUUCUGGGCUUCACACGUGCUACAAUGGUCGGUACAGAGAGAAGCAAAGUCGCGAGGCGGAGCAAAACUCUAAAACCGAUCCCAGUUCGGACUGCAGGCUGCAACCCGCCUGCACGAAGUCGGAGUUGCUAGUAAUCGCGAAUCAGAACGUCGCGGUGAAUGCGUUCCCGGGUCUUGUACACACCGCCCGUCACACCAUGGAAGUUGGGGGUGCCCGAAGUAGGCAUUGAAUUGUUUCCUAAGGCAAAACCAAUGACUGGGGUGAAGUCGUAACAAGGUAACC